rnacentral:lncRNA from 1 species
UGGGCUGGGGCGGGGUGGAGCAGAGCCGGAAGCGGGAGGGGAGAGUGAAACAGGAAAAGAAGGGAAGAAGGCAGAAGAGGGAAGAGGAGGAGAGGGAGGAGGAGGAGGGAGGUGGCGGCGCCGUGGCGGAGGAGCAGGAGCAGGAGGGGGAUGGAGAGGAGAAGGCUCCUGGGUGGCAUGGCGCUCCUGCUCCUCCAGGCGCUGCCCAGCCCCCUGUCAGCCAGGGCUGAACCCCCGCAGCAUGCCUUAACCUCAACGUGAGGGGAUGAACAUCUAUACUGAACUUGAGAGCAGGAGGAGCUAAUCAAAUGCCCACAGGAGCCAGGCAG